rnacentral:misc_RNA from 1 species
GCAAAAAUUACUUUUCACCCAGGCAGGGUAUUUAGGCAUUCUACAGCGGCAUAGAUGAAACCUCUAAACUAUGUUUAUAACACAAAAUAGUUUCUUCAGUCUGUCAAUGUGUACCAUAAUGACAUCUACUCCUUAAAUUAAUAUCUUUUGGUACAUUCUAUCAAUAAUUUUCAGCCAAAAUCUUGUAUUUGGAUUCUAAGAUGUCCCAUUU